rnacentral:ncRNA from 2 species
AAAUUUGUGCGUUAAAUCGGCAAUCCAGGGAAUCCCGUGAGAACCGGGAGCGGUCCCGCCGCUGUAAACGGAGACAAAGCCGCUUUGGGCCACUGUCAUUCAUGACGGGAAGGCGCGGCUGCGAAAGACCCGUGAGCCAGAAUACCUGAGCCGAUUUUCUAACGGCAGC